rnacentral:rRNA from 1 species
AGUGAACGCUGGCGGUAGGCCUAACACAUGCAAGUCGAACGGCAGCACAGUAAGAGCUUGCUCUUACGGGUGGCGAGUGGCGGACGGGUGAGGAAUACAUCGGAAUCUACUUUUUCGUGGGGGAUAACGUAGGGAAACUUACGCUAAUACCGCAUACGGCCUACGGGUGAAAGCAGGGGAUCUUCGGACCUUGCGCGAUUGAAUGAGCCGAUGUCGGAUUAGCUAGUUGGCGGGGUAAAGGCCCACCAAGGCGACGAUCCGUAGCUGGUCUGAGAGGAUGAUCAGCCACACUGGAACUGAGACACGGUCCAGACUCCUACGGGAGGCAGCAGUGGGGAAUAUUGGACAAUGGGCGCAAGCCUGAUCCAGCCAUACCGCGUGGGUGAAGAAGGCCUUCGGGUUGUAAAGCCCUUUUGUUGGGAAAGAAAAGCAGCAGGUUAAUACCCCGCUGUUCUGACGGUACCCAAAGAAUAAGCACCGGGUAACUUCGUG